GUGCCAGCAGCCGCGGUAAUACGGAGGGUGCAAGCGUUAAUCGGAAUUACUGGGCGUAAAGCGUGCGUAGGCGGCUUGUUCAGUCAGAUGUGAAAGCCCUGGGCUUAACCUGGGAACUGCAUUUGAUACUGGCAGGCUAGAGUUUAGUAGAGGGGAGUGGAAUUUCAGGUGUAGCGGUGAAAUGCGUAGAGAUCUGAAGGAACACCAGUGGCGAAGGCGGCUCCCUGGACUAAAACUGACGCUGAGGUACGAAAGCGUGGGUAGCAAACAGGAUUAGAUACCCUGGUAGUCCACGCCGUAAACGAUGUCAACUAACCGUUGGGUUCUUAAAGAACUUAGUGGUGGAGCUAACGUAUUAAGUUGACCGCCUGGGGAGUACGGCCGCAAGGCUAAAACUCAAAUGAAUUGACG
rnacentral:rRNA from 1 species